GACGAACGCUGGCGGCAGGCCUAAUACAUGCAAGUCGAACGCUCGUAGCAAUACGAGAGUGGCAGACGGGUGAGUAACACGUGGGAACCUUCCCUAUGGUUCGGAAUAGCUCAGGGAAACUUGAGGUAAUACCGGAUAAGCCCUUACGGGGAAGAUUUAUCGCCAUUGGAUGGGCCCGCGUCGGAUUAGCUAGUUGGUGGGUAACGGCCGUACCAAGGCGACGAUCCGUAGCUGGUCUGAGAGGAUGAUCAGCCACACUGGGACUGAGACACGGCCCAGACUCCUACGGGAGGCAGCAGUAGGGAAUAUUGGACAAUGGGCGCAAGCCUGAUCCAGCCAUGCCGCGUGAGUGA
rnacentral:rRNA from 1 species